AGCAUAUACUAUAGAGCAGUGAUGGCGAACCUUUUUGAGCCCGAGUGCCCAAACCGCAAUACAUGCCAACAUUUUUUUCUCCUUAAAGUGCCAACACGGCAAUUAAACCCAAAUACUGAGGUUUAAGUUUAGAAAAAAACAACUCGUACUGUUGUCCGAACUAAUAACUUUUGUUUUAAAAGAACACAGAGAGUUCAAUGAUACAAAUUUUAAAUAAUGAUAUAAAUAGAUAA